AAAAUAUCAGAAAGAAUAAACUUGAUUUCAAUUAUAGACUUUUAUUGUGGACAUUCCAUCUAUUGAUACCUUAAUUAUCUUAAUAUAAAUUUAUAAUGUAUUAGGAUGUGAAAUAGAAAUUUAGGAUAUUGCAUUUUGGUAUGUUCUUCAUUCUUUGUGUCAUCACUGCAUGGCUGCAUUUAUGACUGAUUCGCUGUACUAAUAUAUUUCAUCAUCAUUAUUUAUUUAUGUGGCUAAAAUUAUUAAUUGUGAUCUAUUUAAACUCUGACUUGUGUGCUAAUGAUAUUUACUACUAAGUGAGCAUAAGAAAUAAGAUUGAUAUAGUGGCUGGUAUCAUAUGAGGUGCUAACCAGUUUUGGAUGGCUUUUUUCUUCAAAAGGUAAUAGGGACACAGCACUAAAUUAAGGUGGGGAAUAGGAUGCUUUUGGUGCUGGAAUUUGAUUAGACUCUGAGGAUUAAACCAGCAGUUAUGAGAAAAAAGAUUAAAGGUACAAAUGAGUCCCUGUCACAGUCAGUUUUUAGUAAUCCAAGGAAAGGAUUGGUACAUGUUAGCCUUCAAAUUUAUUCUACCCCGACCAUUAUUUGAACAGAAAAUACUUCUGAUAUUAAAUGAGUAAUGAGAUAGGGGUGAUUGAUAUUUCUGUUUGAGAAAAUCCUUAAGGGUUCAGUUGUUGCCGGUUCAACGGAUAUGCAAAUUUGGUUUAGAAUGGUGUGACACAGUUUGGUAACUAUCUAAUGUAGUUAAUGAUGCAACCCAAAAAGAGUGGGACUCCAUGGCUUUUCGGUAUCAUCUGGAGACUGAAUUUUUUUAGCCUAACCUUGGUAAAAAUACCUAGUAUUGCUUCAAAAGAGUCAGAUUUGAAUGAAAGAUCUACUUAUUUGAGCUAAAACAGGCUUCUUCAUAAAACUCAACACGAAGCCUCUGAGCCUUUGCACUUUUGGGCAGCUUCCAUCAUUUAGGGGGUUCAAAUGAGCUUUUUUAUUGUAUUAUUGGGAACAUAGGUUUUUAUUUUAUUUGUUCUCAAAAUAUGGCCUUAGCGUUCUUUUCUGUUUGCAUAAAUAAAGUUUUCUUGGUGAUGUAAAGUCAGAAUCCCUAACUUAUGUUACAUGUGGCACCAUUAUCUACUGUAGACUCAAGAUAGGAUAAAGUGAAGAAUAUUUUUUCAGUCAAUUCUAGCAAAUUCACAAACUUUGUCAUUACAACUUUCUGCAAGUACAAGCAAGCAGUAGACCAUAAAUGUCAACUUAUGGAAUUCUAGGUUGAGGAUUUUGUUUGGGUAACAUUGACAAAAGAUCAGUUCCUGGUAGGUGAGUACAAAAGUUGGUUGAGAAGAUUGGUCCAAAAGAUGAUUGAGAACAUCGAUUCUAAUGCUUCUCACGUUGACAACAGUUUGAUGAUAAAGGUACUCCAAAUUCAAGAGCAAAUAUUAUGUACCUUGAGAAGGAUGAUCCAAUCCAACAUUUCUGUUAGGGACAUCUUAAGGCCCAAAUAUUUUUUUAGCCCUAUCGUUGAUGACAACCGUGUUUCUGGUCAAUGGAGUUGGAUUUGGUCGAAAGACUAAUUUUUCACGCAAUAACUUUGAGCGAAAACUUUCAGCCCUUGCCAUUUUUGGCAGACUCCAUUUAUAGUGUCUAAAGGACAUUUUAUAAAUUAUUCAAAAGUUAAUCCAUUUAUUUUUGUUAAUUUUUCAAAAUUCAUGCAUAGUGCUUAUUUUUGGUUUUGUAUAAUCAAGUCCAUUUAGGGCUAGCCUUUGAGAUUUAAUAAAAUUCAUGAGAUUUUCUCCUGAGCCUUUUCAAAUUUAAGUAUUUUAUGCAAAUCAAUGAAUGUUUGAUGCCCUUUUCUCUGGUGUUCUUGAUUGAAUAUGCUUAGUAUUGAAAGGUUGUCCAUUUAUGCGUUGUCUGUUCAUCCACAUACCUGGAGAACUUUUAAUGAUGGUAAAGCUGUGAAAGGAUUUUCUAGAAUUAAUUGGAUAUAUAUAUAUUUCUUCCUUUUGGUUUUCUUGUAUGUAAUUGGUAAUUAUCUUUGUAAUAUGAUAACCUUUUAUGUCCUCCAAAAUGUAGAGAGGCUGACGAGUACCGUCUACGAGAAGUUUGUGAGAGCUUUCUUGGACCUCCUAUUGGGAUGACUGAAGCUCCAUCAUCCGAUGUAAAAACAGCAGCAUGGGACCCUUAUGUUCUGGUAAGGCCUUUUUGUAUUCUUCCUUAAUUCUUGUAGGUGUUUAAACUGGUAUUUAUGUUUCUGGUGUGAUGUAAAUUCUCUCGAAAGUUUGUUGUUGGGCUGCCCAUGUCUGCAUCUUCUUGUUUGCUAUGUCCUUUUUAAUGUUUUUCUUUUAUGUGAAUUUUUAUUAUUUGAUGACAGUUUGUAACUUGUGUCUUCACAGGGAAUGAACAAGCACAAGCUCCUUCGAGAAGAUAUUCUUCCAGCUAUGGCAUCAAAUAGAGAAGUUCAAAGGUUGCUCAACGAGUUCAUGGUUGUCCUAAAUGAUUAUGAGAUAACAAAAGCAAACUUAGAACAGAAGAAUCUCGUUCAUACAACAGCAGUGGCUACUACAGAUGAAAUGGAUUCUUCCCUGCCUGCAAUCGAUAAAAGAAUUCCUGAUUCAACAUUAACCAAUCAAAUGGACUCUGCCCAACAAGCAAUAGGUCCAAGGGAUCCUACCUUGACAAAAACCAACCAAACAGACUCCAUUGUACCCAUGAAUGGUGAAAUAGAUACCAUUUUGCAAGGUACAAAUCAAGUGGAAUCCAUGCUACCGAUGCCAGAGCAAAUGAAUUUGGACCCCCCUGCCUCCGAGCAAGUAAAUUCAGCAGGGAAAGAGAAGGAUUCUUGAUCUUAGAAUCGUGUUUGGUAAUUAGUGAUCAUUGGAUAUACUAACCUGUUAGUAAUCAUUUUAUGGAGUAUGUAUUUUAAUUUUGUCCUUGGGCUUUUUGCAUGUGAUGCGUUCUUAUCUGGGGACUCGAGAGCCGAAUAGCUUCUGAUUUUGUUGAUAUGUGUCCUGUGCAAGCUAUUGAGUUCAAACUACAUUCAAAGCACAUCUGGUGUGUAUUUCACAAUUUGGAAGCUUUUGAAGACUACAUGUUUUCUUGAACUGGAUAGGAUGACUUGUACUAUAUGAAGCUAAUUUUUGCCCUUUUGAGAUAAAUGUAAAGUUUAUUGCCCAUUUUUAGUGGUUAUUCAUUUCCAAUUGGUUGUAAAUUAUUUUUCUUCAUUUCCUGCCUUCAUAUUUUCUUGGAAACUACCACCAUACCACAUGUAUGGAAUUAGUUGUUUUGCAAAUAAAGUGGAUAGGAGCGUCGAAGUGUGAAU
rnacentral:lncRNA from 1 species